rnacentral:rRNA from 1 species
AUUGAACGCUGGCGGCAGGCUUAACACCUGCAAGUCGCGCGAGCGGCGGACGGGUGAGUAAUGUCUGGGAAACUGCCUUAUGGAGGGGGAUACCUACUGGAACCGGUAGCUCAUACCGCAUCCCAUCAGAUGUGCCCAGAUGGGAUUAGCUAGUAGGUUGGGUAAUGGCUCACCUAGGCGACGAUCCCUAGCUGGUCUGAGAGGAUGACCAGCAAAACUGGAACUGAGACACGGUCCAGACGCCUACGGGAGGCAGCAGUUGGGAAUAUUGCACAAUGGGCGCAAGCCUGAUGCAGCCAUGCCGCGUGUGUGAAGAAGGCCUGCGGGUUGUAAAGCACUUUCAGCGAGGAGGCGUUACUCGCAGAAGAAGCACCGGCUAACUCCGUGCCAGCCGCCGCGGUAAUUC